rnacentral:rRNA from 1 species
GACGAACGCUGGCGGCGUGCUUAACACAUGCAAGUCGAACGGAAAGGCCUCUUUCGGGGGGUACUCGAGUGGCGAAGGAGUGAGGAAAACGUGAGUAACCUGCCCUUGACUUUGGGCUAAAUUCAGGAAACUGGGGCUAAUACCGGAGAGGAGCUCCUGCUGCACGGUGGGGGCUGGAAAGUUUCGGCGGUUGGGGAUGGACUCGCGGCUUAUCAGCUUGUUGGUGGGGUAGUGGCUUACCAAGGCUUUGACGGGUCGCCGGCCUGAGAGGGUGAACGGCCACAUUGGGACUGAGAUACGGCCCAGACUCCUACGGGAGGCAGCAGUGGGGAAGCUUGCACAAUGGGUGGAAGCCUGAUGCAGCAACGCCGUGUGCGGGAUGACGGCCUUCGGGUUGGAAACCGCUUUCGCUCAUGACGAAGCUUUGUGUGACGGUAGUGGGUAAAGAAGCACCGGCUAACUACGUG